rnacentral:rRNA from 1 species
AUGAGAGGGGGGAGGCGCGGGACGUGGAAAGUGCGGCGGGGAGGCGGCGCCGCCGCCGCUCGGCCGCCGCCGGACGAGCGCGCCGCCGACGUCCAGGUCAUCGAACUCAGCGAUGAUGAGGUGAAGUCAGCAACGCAGACAAAACCACCGGAAGUUUCCGCAAAGAACCUCGGGCGUCUCAGGAAGCGAACAGCCGCCGGUGGUACUGCAACUUCUGAGUUGCAUGAGGACGAGGUGCAGGCUGCUGAUGUCAUGCCGAGCAAUGGUGAAGGUGGGCAACUGUUGCCUCCAUGUAGAAGGUCCAAACGCCUACAGAGAGAACGAACUGAAAAGCAAGAAUUGAGUAGCAGGGAGAGUCAGCAUGAUGUAUUUGUGAACAGUGAGGAUGAGUCCAAAAUGUUGGUUCGACGAAGGAGGCCAAACCACCUCAGAAAGAGAUUUACAUCCGAGUAUUUCAGUGGUGAAUGGAAUGAAGACAAAUAUAUAUCGCGGAGCAGCUCUGAUGAUGAUGAUGAUCACUUGCCCCCCCAGCGAAGGUCAAAGCGUCUUUGGCACAGAAUGGGAACUAGCAAAGAUGCAUACAACGGCGAUUCUGAUAGUGACACUGUAGAUAAUCAUAGGAAGGCAAUUCCAUGCAGAAGAAUGUCAAAGCGCCUACAGCAGAAACAGAAGGCUGAUCAUGUUUCAGAUGAGAAUUGCACUAAAGCUUCUCUGUGCAUGUUGCCAACGUCUAAAUCUUCAGGAUCAGAUGAUGAGCUAUUGCGUAGCACUGUAAAACUUUGCAAAAGCGCUUCUAGUGGACCUACUUGCUCAAUAUGUAAGAGUGGAGCCGGUAGCUGUCUUCUGAUCCAGUGCCAGAACACAAGCUGUUCUCGUAGCUUCCACACCUUCUGUCUUAGUCCUCCGAUGCAGGAUAGUAGAGGCACUUUGGAAUGUCCUCUCUGCAAAAUCGAUCAAGCAUCCUUGGCUAAGGGGACGGAAGUAUAUGCCUUAAAAAAGGUCCAAACACUUGUUGGUUGCAGACGGGUAAUUCUUCAGGAGUCAGAUUUCCAGUAUCAAAUGCUCGUGAAAUGGCAAUCACUUUCUCAUCAUCACGACUGCUGGGUUCCACUUGAUUGGCUUCGUGUUUUUGAGCCUCAACGAGCACGAACCUACAUAAGCAAGAAUACCUUACCUAAAGAGGCAUACUCGGAGGAUCAAAGGAAACCUGAAUGGCUUGAAGUAGAUCGUGCCAUUGCAUGCCGCCGGAAGUUUGGUUAUGAUGGUUUAUGUGACGUCCUGGCUAGUUUUGAUAAUAAUGAAGAUUUUGAGGGACACGAGUUCCUCGUGAAAUGGAAAGGACUUGACUAUUGUGAUGCCACAUGGGAGUCGUAUUUCACGGAAGGCGUGCCAUCAGCUGUUUCUAUGCUUGUCCAAAGGCAUAAAAAUACUGUACGAAGCCCGAUGAACAUUGACGUGAUGGUCCCAGAAAAUGUACUAUACAAUUACCAGGUUCAGGGGUUACAAUGGAUUCUUGACAAUUUCAAAUCUAGGAGGAGCGUUAUUCUUGCUGAUGAAAUGGGUCUUGGCAAAACUGUCCAAGUUGUUUGCUUUCUCAACCGCAUAAUCAAAGGAAGUCUGACCACAUCUCCUGCAUUGGUCAUUGUUCCCAAGAGCAUCCUACUGCAAUGGGAAAAGGAAUUUGAUCGCUGGGCACAUGAUCUUAGUAUUGUUGUUUACCAAGGAGAUAAGGACUCCAUAAAGUGUAUUCAAGCUCAUGAACUGUACUCUUCCAAAGGGAAGACUCUGUUUGAUGCUCUAGUGACAAGUUAUGAGAUUGUCCAAAUUGAUAAAGCAGUUCUAAAAAAGAUUAAGUGGUCAACGAUUGUCAUUGAUGAGGCUCACAGAUUGAAGACGCUUGAUUGUAAUCUUGCAUCCUGCCUAUUGAAAUAUAGCUCAGAUUUCCGGUUGCUACUUACAGGAACACCAUUCCAAAAUAACGUCCUGGAGUUGUUUUCAUUGCUUCAUUAUAUUGAUCCAAAUGAGUUCUCUGACCCAAAGGAUGAUCUGUUGUUCUCACCAAUUGAAUCUGAGCGUGGUCUGACAAUAGAUGAAAAAAUCGCCCGCAUUCCUGAGAUUUUAAAGCCUAGGAUGUUGAGGAGAUUGAAAGCUGAUGUGCUAAAAGAUUCUAUGCCAACAAAGAAGUGGGUAGAAGUUCCGUGUGCACUUACAGAUUCUCAGAGAGAUCUUUACAUUAAUAUUCUAGAGAAGAACUACUCAAAGUUGAACAGUGCUAUUCAGGAUGGUAGGAAGCGUUCUCUGAACAACGUACUAAUGGAACUGCGAAAAUGCUGCAAUCAUCCGUAUUUGUUUACAGGAUCGGAUGGUAAACAACAUGCAGGAGAAGAUGUUCUCCAAUCACUAGUUUCUGCAUCAGGGAAACUUCAACUCUUACAGAAGUUGCUCCCAAAAUUGAAAGAGAGAGGGAACCGUGUAUUGAUUUUCUCCCAGAUGACGAAGAUGCUUGAUAUUCUUGAGGACUUCCUUUCUUUCCUGGGAUACACAUAUGCACGCAUUGAUGGACAGACAGCACUCUCUGAGAGGCAGGAGAGCAUAAAAGAAUACAACAACGCUGAAAGUGAAACAUUUAUUUUCUUGAUGUCAACUCGUGCUGGUGGUAUAGGUAUUGACCUGCCUGGUGCUGAUAGAGUAAUUAUAUAUGAUCCAGACUUCAAUCCAUUUAUGGACUUGCAAGCACAGUCCAGGGCUCACCGGAUUGGCCAGACCCGACCGGUGGUUGUUUACCAGCUUAUUACAAAAUGUUCUGUUGAAGCGAAGAUAUUGCAGAAGUCUAAGCAGAAGCUGGCCAUUGAAAAUAUUUUAAUGAACUCUUCCAAGAAGCCGCCAAGUGCAGAUGAGCUGAAGUCCAUUCUACUACAUGGAGCCAAGAUAAUUCAGGACAAAAAGGAGAUUAAAGCUGUAUCAAUCCAUUAUGACGACGAGGCCAUUCAGAAUCUCCUCAAGCUAGAUCCUUCGAGCGACGAGAUGUGCACUUCAGAAUGCAACGGCUAUCUUGGCGGCAUCGAGAGCUUUCCUCAUGGUGCCGAGGACGUAGUACCUCCCUCCCCCAAGGUUGAGGAAUUAAAAGUAUUCAAGCCUGCCACUCCCAAGGUGGAUCUUGGCCGCGGGAGAAGGCAGAGGAACCUCGUGAAGUAUUUCGAGGAGACGGACAAUGAAGACAGUGAUGACAUGUACGCUCCAGAGGCUUCCUCCGAGUCCAGUAGCUCUUCCUCUGAUGAUGAAACAGAUGAAGAAAUUCCUGAAGUAGCACGCGCUAGAACUGAAGUAGACAUGAAAGCUGAAACAGUGAGCGUUGUGAAGCCAGAAGUAGCUCCCGUUCCAGCCCCUCUUCCUCAGAGUCAGAGUCCGGCAGCUCUUCCUCAGAUGAAACGGAAGAGGUUAAGCCUAUUGUAG